UCCAGACUCCUACGGGAGGCAGCAGUGGGGGAUAUUGCACAAUGGGGGGAACCCUGAUGCAGCGACGCCGCGUGGGUGAAGGAGCGUUUCGGCGCGUAAAGCCCUAUCGGCAGGGAAGAAGGAGGACGGUACCUGACUAAGAAGCCCCGGCUAACUACGUGCCAGCAGCCGCGGUAAUACGUAGGGGGCAAGCGUUAUCCGGAUUUACUGGGUGUAAAGGGGGCGCAGACGGCAGCGCAAGCCAGGAGUGAAAGCCCGGGGCCCAACCCCGGGACUGCUCUUGGAACUGCGCGGCUGGAGUGCAGGAGGGGCAGGCGGAAUUCCUGGUGUAGCGGUGAAAUGCGUAGAUAUCAGGAGGAACACCGGUGGCGAAGGCGGCCUGCUGGACUGCGACUGACGUUGAGGCCCGAAAGCGUGGGGAGCAAACAGGAUUAGAUACCCCGUAA
rnacentral:rRNA from 1 species